GCGGAUGUAGCUCAGUUGGUAGAGCGCUUGGUUGUGGUCCAGGAGGUCGCGGGUUCAAAACCCGUCAUUCGCCCCA
rnacentral:tRNA from 1 species